GUGCCAGCAGCCGCGGUAAUACGUAGGGCGCAAGCGUUGUCCGGAAUUAUUGGGCGUAAAGAGCUCGUAGGUGGUUUGUCGCGUCUGGUGUGAAAUCUCACGGCUCAACCGUGAGCUUGCAUUGGGUACGGGCAGACUAGAGUGCGGUAGGGGAGACUGGAAUUCCUGGUGUAGCGGUGGAAUGCGCAGAUAUCAGGAGGAACACCGAUGGCGAAGGCAGGUCUCUGGGCCGCUACUGACGCUGAGGAGCGAAAGCAUGGGGAGCGAACAGGAUUAGAUACCCUGGUAGUCCAUGCCGUAAACGUUGGGCACUAGGUGUGGGGCUCUUUCCACGAGUUCUGCGCCGUAGCUAACGCAUUAAGUGCCCCGCCUGGGGAGUACGGCCGCAAGGCUAAAACUCAAAGGAAUUGACGGGGGCCCGCACAAGCGGCGGAGCAUGCGGAUUAAUUCGAUGCAACGCGAAGAACCUUACCAAGGCUUGACAUACACCGGAAUCGCUCAGAGAUGGGUGCG
rnacentral:rRNA from 1 species